rnacentral:rRNA from 1 species
AUUGAACGCUGGCGGCAUGCCUUACACAUGCAAGUCGAACGGCAGCACGGGAGCUUGCUCCUGGUGGCGAGUGGCGAACGGGUGAGUAAUACAUCGGAACGUACCCUGAAGUGGGGGAUAACGUAGCGAAAGUUACGCUAAUACCGCAUAUUCUGUGAGCAGGAAAGAGGGGGAUCGCAAGACCUCUUGCUUUAGGAGCGGCCGAUGUCGGAUUAGCUAGUUGGUGAGGUGAAGGCUCACCAAGGCGACGAUCCGUAGCGGGUCUGAGAGGAUGAUCCGCCACACUGGGACUGAGACACGGCCCAGACUCCUACGGGAGGCAGCAGUGGGGAAUUUUGGACAAUGGGCGCAAGCCUGAUCCAGCCAUGCCGCGUGAGUGAAGAAGGCCUCGGUUGUAAAGCUCUUCG